rnacentral:rRNA from 1 species
UGAUGAGGCAUGCAAGUCGAACGGAAUAAUGACUUCGGUUAUUAUUUAGUGGCGGAAGGGUUAGUAAUACAUAGAUAAUCUGUCCUCAACUUGGGAAUAACGGUUGGAAACGACCGCUAAUACCGAAUGUGGUAUGUUUAGGAUUCUAAAACAUAUUAAAGAAGGGGAUCUUCGGACCUUUCGGUUGAGGGAGAGUCUAUGGGAUAUCAGCUUGUUGGUGGGGUAAUGGCCUACCAAGGCUUUGACGUCUAGGCGGAUUGAGAGAUUGACCGCCAACACUGGAA